GACCUGGUGGCAUAACUGGUAGUGCACACAUUUACGGUGUCACUGACCCCUGGUAAUCUUUAAAUGUGAGACCCUUGUUCAAUUUGAGGUCAGGUCG